rnacentral:rRNA from 1 species
GGCGGACGGGUGAGUAAUGCAUAGGAAUCUGCCCAGUAGCGGGGGACAACUCGGAGAAAUCCGAGCUAAUACCGCAUACGCCCUACGGGGGAAAGCGGGGGACCUUCGGGCCUCGCACUAUUGGAUGAGCCUAUGUCUGAUUAGCUUGUUGGUGGGGUAAUGGCCUACCAAGGCAACGAUCAGUAGCUGGUCUGAGAGGACGAUCAGCCACACUGGGACUGAGACACGGCCCAGACUCCUACGGGAGGCAGCAGUGGGGAAUAUUGCACAAUGGGCGAAAGCCUGAUGCAGCAAUGCCGCGUGUGUGAAGAAGGCCUGCGGGUUGUAAAGCACUUUCAGUUGGGAGGAAAAGCAAUGGGCUAAUACCCCGUUGUCUUGACGUUACCUACAGAAGAAGCACCGGCUAACUCUGUGCCAGCAGCCGCGGUAAUACAGAGGGUGCGAGCGUUAAUCGGAAUUACUGGGCGUAAAGCGCGCGUAGGCGGCUUG